AACAUCUUCAGAUGUGGCCUUUUGAAAAUCAUUCAAAAUUCAUGAUAAAAUACGAUAAUUGAAGUGUAGAAGAGUGUUACGUGGUAAAGCAAGGUACAUGGGAUCUCUGCAGCAAGAGGAGAUUCGUGCGGUCGAUUGAAUAUGUGAUUUAUUCAAUCAUCGUCAUCGAUAAACAUAAUGGAUGUGCUGAGCGAGAGUGUCGCCGAGCAAUUAUAUGGAAAUAUUUGUUCAAAUGAAGUAAUAUUUCAAUUGAACGUUAUGUUUCAUGCAAUUGUAACGAAAUCGUGUUGUUAUCAAUAAGUCGUGAAGUACAGACAUGCUGACACAGGUAUUAUUAGGUAGUAUGAUACAAAAUACAUCACUCCACAGGAACCCGACGGAAAAUUUGAUUAUGUUCGCCGUUGAGACUAUCGCUGUGUAAAAUAAUACAUGGAGCGGAGCGGCUGAAGUAUAACUUGUAUCUGCUUAGUAAAUUUGAAACAUUUUUUCGUAAUUUUAGUUGCAAUUUUGAUGUUUGUUUAACAGGCCUCAACUCGGUUUCAAGUAAAUAUAGAAAUGGGGCCUUUUUGGGAAAAGGCCGCAUUUGCGAUUAAUAUCCUAAUUAUCGGGAAAUGAGAUGGGGCCUUU